ACUGUUGAAAAACGGCCAGGAGAAACAAUGAACGCAGAGGUGGAGAGGGGCCGCUGCCACGGACCCACUAGACGAACAUUAACCCAAGGUUCUGGGGACGAGCCUCACCGACAUUAAUGCUGUAGAGUAGCUCAAACCCAGUCCAGAGACACCUGGAGAAGGACACAGGUACAUUUCAUUCAACUGUCCCACCACCAUCAGGGCCAUGGCCACAGUGUGUAGAAACUGACCAUGUUGGUGAUGAGGGACAGACCAAGAACCCUGAGUCCACAGUGUUUUGCCACCGUUACUUCAGGAACUGCACUCAUACCUGGGGAGAAACGAAGAAAGAAACACAAAGAACUGAAAGUCAAAGAACUUCAAGAUGAGGGGGCCUCACCACGAGCUUCCUUUGGUGUGCAUCAUCCAGCAGCAGAACGUCCACAGGACGACCCCGACAAGGAACCCAGAGUCC